GAAAGACUGUAACAAACAUCACAGAAAGGCAGAAGUACCCCUCUUCUUCAGAAUCCAAUGAAACCUCCCACCCUUUAACAGUGGGAAGUGAUGCCUCAUGGGGAAGAAUUGCCCUGAAAUGCUUUGGAGCAGCAAUGGGGUAUGAACAUCCAGCUGACCCAGCUCUACUUCCAUCAGAGCAGUUUGGACUGAAGAAGAGCUCCUGCUGGGACAUUUUAAGAAUAAAAGCAAUUAACACAAAUAACAGUUGAUUAUUUACAUUCUCAAGACUUGAUCUCUCUCUUAUUAAAAACAAC